rnacentral:tRNA from 1 species
GCCGCCUUGCGCCGCGCGGAUCAGGGCAAGCCCUUGCGCGCCGUCGGCGGCGAUGUCGAUCAGAUGCCCGGCGCGUUCGAGCGCGCGGGCGGCG